UGACAAGUGGUUUCUUCAAACCUCUGUGCUAAACUGAAAGGCAGUUAUCACACGCAUGUCAUACAGAAAACAUAAUUGCUUGUUAAAAACAUGUCCUGCCACAGACACCAUGUACCUGCUUCCCUGUACCAUUGUCACUUCUGCAUUUGGAGGUGUGUAUAGGCAGUCACUAAUUCACAGGAAUUGAAAAUGGCCUGCUGGAAUGAUCUGGUGCCUACCAUCUCCUAGUCCCUGCCAGGCCUUGCCUCAGGAAAGCUGUGCCUGGAAACUUCCUAACAAAUAGCAAACAACCUUAGAGCUGCUAGCAGGAGGGAAACUGUGUUAGCAACCAUAUCACCGUUAAGUUUAACACUGUGAUCAGGUGAAAGUAGGUUGAAUAGGUUCAGUGUGUAGAUACUCAAUUUUUUGGAAGGGACUUUGAAGAAUUGUGGGACUUCUUUGUACCGUUUCCACCAGCUACCUGCAGAAGAGACGACAAAUGAGAUCACCCACACUCAGAUGAUACCAAGCUUUUUCCAAGUAGCUAAAUUCCUCUGGCCCACAGUGACACAGCUAGGAUGAAGGGCAGCAUAGGAGAUUCCAGCAUGGAGAAUCAUACAGAAAUGAGUCUAUGCUGAGCUCAGUAAGCUGGGAGGGCAUGGCUGACAGGGCCCUGUGCAGGCAGAGCACUGAGGUGGGCUGGGCUCCGCAGCCCUUCAGUGCUUGGGGCCUCACCAGAGGAGCGAAAGCCAUUCUUGCACUGCACUGCAAGAAGGAAGAGAGGGUGGGAUUUUGCUCAGGUGUAUUUGUGUCUGAAAAUGGAGGAGGCAGCCCAGAAGAUUGGAAAAGAAUUUGGGCCUGAAUCUUACAGUACAGAUACUGCUGAGGUGGAAGCUGGCUGGGCUCAUCCUGAGGACCUGGGUGGGAGAGGCUGCCUCUCAGCCCAGAAGGCUGCAGUGGGCUAUGUGGACACCCCUGUUUGCUGUUGGUGGUGUCUUCUCUGCACAGGUUCUCCCUGAGCCGCCAGGACUGAGGGAGCAGCUGGUCGAGCAGUGUCAGCCACCUUCAGGUUCUGGAUAUAAUUUGUCUUCUCUGUGUGGUCACACCCUUUCCAGAGUUAGCUCUGACAGUCUCUGGAGGAAUUUGAGAAGUGUGAAGGUUGGAAAUGAAUCAGUUAUGCAUCAGCUACAUUUCAUACUCUUGUCCUGAGAGUAAAGCAGUUAUGGGCUGGGCUCCUUGUUCCAGAAUGACAGUGAUGUGUUCCAAAUAUACAGUGGAGACAUCCUGGGAAUGCUUAUGAAGAGCUCAGUGCAAACCUCAUCCCACCACACAUACCCACCGUUGCAAAGGGAAAAGGUAUUGUAGUAUUUCUUCACCAUUACAAAAAGAAGGGAGAAUAAAUAUUCUGAUGCCAUUGUACA
rnacentral:lncRNA from 1 species